UACGUAGGGUGCAAGCGUUAAUCGGAAUUACUGGGCGUAAAGCGUGCGCAGGCGGUUUUGUAAGCCAGAUGUGAAAUCCCCGGGCUUAACCUGGGAAUGGCAUUUGGGACUGCAAGGCUUGAGUGCGGCAGAGGAGACUGGAAUUCCUGGUGUAGCAGUGAAAUGCGUAGAUAUCAGGAGGAACACCGAUGGCGAAGGCAGGUCUCUGGGCUGACACUGACGCUCAUGCACGAAAGCGUGGGGAGCGAAACA
rnacentral:rRNA from 1 species